rnacentral:rRNA from 1 species
ACACGGAAACGUGAACGACCCGUGAGUCGGGAGGAGGCACAGAUGCUGCAUGGCUGUCGUCAGCUCGUGCCGUGAGGUGUUGGGUUAAGUCCCGCAACGAGCGCAACCCUCGUCGCCAGUUACCUUUUCUGGCGAGACCGCCGGGAUCAACCCGGAGGAAGGUGGGGAUGACGUCAAGUCAGCACGGCUCUUACGUCUGGGGCUACACACACGCUACAAUGGCCGGUACAAUGGGCAGCGAAGGGGCGACUUGGAGCGAAUCCCAUCAAAGCCGGUCUCAGUUAGGAUCGGAGGCUGCAACUCGCCUCCGUGAAUGCGGAGUUGCUAGUAACCGCAGGUCAGCACACUGCGGUGAAUACGUUCCCGGGCCUUGUACACACCGCCCGUCACGUCAUGAAAGCUGGGGGCGCCUGAAGCCGGUGGGCUAACCUUCGGGAGGCAGCCGUCGAGGGCGAAAUCAGCGAUUGGGCACGAAGUCGUAACAAGGUAACCGUA